UACGUAGGUGGCAAGCGUUGUCCGGAUUUAUUGGGUUUAAAGGGUGCGUAGGCGGCCCCAUAAGUCAGUGCUGAAAUAUCCCGGCUUAACCGGGAGGGUGGCAUUGAUACUGUGGGGCUUGAGUAAAGUUGAGGUUGGCGGAAUUGACGGUGUAGCGGUGAAAUGCUUAGAUAUCGUCAAGAACACCGAUAGUGUAGACAGCUAACUAAGCUUUAACUGACGCUGAGGCACGAAAGUGUGGGGAUCAAAC
rnacentral:rRNA from 1 species